AGUGAACGCUGGCGGCAGGCCUAACACAUGCAAGUCGAGCGGCAGCGGGUUCCCGCGAGGGGAUGCCGGCGAGCGGCGGACGGGUGAGGAACACAUCGGAAUCUGCCUGGUUGUGGGGGAUAACGUAGGGAAACUUACGCUAAUACCGCAUGCGACCCUGAGUCGACGGACUGGGGGGUGAAAGUGAGGGACCUUCGGGCCUCACGCGACCAGAUGAGCCGAUGUCGGANAGCUAGUUGGCGGGGUAACGGCCCCGCCAAGGCGACGAUCCGUAGCUGGUCUGAGAGGAUGAUCAGCCACACUGGGACUGAGACACGGCCCCAGACUCCUACGGGGAGGCAGCAGUGGGGAAUCUUGGACAAUGGGCGCAAGCCUGAUCCAGCCAUGCCGCGU
rnacentral:rRNA from 1 species